rnacentral:rRNA from 1 species
GUCUAUGGCCAUACCACCCUGAACGUGCCCGAUCUCGUCUGGUCUCAGAAGCUAAGCAGGGUUGGGCCUGGUUAGUACUGCGAUGGGAGGAGGCUGAAGCAGGAGCAUCUUUUCGAGUUCAAGACCAGCCCAGGCU